UUAUGGCUCAGGAUGAACGCUGGCGGCGUGCCUAACACAUGCAAGUCGAGCGGAGAUAAGUUGAAGCCUAGCGAUUCUUAUCUUAGCGGCGGAUGGGUGAGUAACACGUGGGUAACCUGCCCUGUACUGGGGAAUAACAGCUGGAAACGGCUGUUAAUGCCGCAUAUGCGCACGGAGCCGCAUGACUCCGGGCGGAAAGAUUUAUCGGUACAGGAUGGGCCCGCGCCGGAUUAACUAGUUGGCGGGGUAACGGCCCACCCAAGGUGAUGAUCCGUAGCCGACCUGAGAGGGUGACCGGCCACAUUGGGACUGAGACACGGCCCAAACUCCUACGGGAGGCAGCAGUGGGGGAUAUUGCACAAUGGGGGAAACCCUGAAUGCAGCGACGCCGCGUGAAGGAUGACGUAUUUCGGUAUGUAAACUUCUAUCAGCGGGGAAGAAGAUGACGGUACCCGACUAAGAAGCCCCGGCUAACUACGUGCCAGCAGCGGC
rnacentral:rRNA from 1 species